GACGUAGGGCGCGAGCGUUGUCCGGAUUUAUUGGGCGUAAAGAGCUCGUAGGCGGCUUGUUGCGUCGGCUGUGAAAACCCGCGGCUUAACCGCGGGCCUGCAGCCGAUACGGGCAGGCUAGAGUUCGGUAGGGGAGACUGGAAUUCCUGGUGUAGCGGUGAAAUGCGCAGAUAUCAGGAGGAACACCGAUGGCGAAGGCACCUUACUGGUCGGUUACUGACACUGAGCUGCGAAAGCAAGGGGAGCAAACAGG
rnacentral:rRNA from 1 species